rnacentral:rRNA from 1 species
UACGUAGGGUGCAAGCGUUGUCCGGAAUUAUUGGGCGUAAAGAGCUCGCAGGCGGUGUGUCGCGUCGGCCGUGAAAACUUGGGGCUUAACUCUGAGCGUGCGGUCGAUACGGGCAUCACUUGAGUUCGGCAGGGGAGACUGGAAUUCCUGGUGUAGCGGUGAAAUGCGCAGAUAUCAGGAGGAACACCGGUGGCGAAGGCGGUUCUCUGGGCCUUACCUGACGCUGAGGAGCGAAAGCAUGGGGAGCAAACAGG